rnacentral:rRNA from 1 species
GAGUAAAGCUCCGGCGCUUCGGGAGAGGCCUGCGGNCCAUCAGCUAGUUGGUAGGGUAACGGCCUACCAAUGCAGAGACGGGUAGGGGGCGUGAGAGCGCGGACCCCCACACUGGCACUGCGACACGGGCCAGACUCCUACGGGAGGCAGCAGUAAGGAAUAUUGCGCAAUGGACGAAAGUCAGACGCAGCGACGCCGCGUGGGCGAUGAAGGCCUUCGGGUUGUAAAGCCCUUUUAUGGGGGAAGAGAAAAAGGACGGUACCCCAUGAAUAAGUCCCGGCUAACUACGUGCCAGCAGCCGCGGUAAAACGUAGGGGACAAGCGUUAUCCGGAUUCACUGGGCGUAAAGAGCGUUGAGGCGGUUCCGUAAGUUGGGCGUGAAAGCUCCGGGCUUAACCCGGAGAUGUCGUUCAAUACUGCGGGGCUUGAGGACAGCAGAGGAAGGUGGAAUUCCCGGUGUAGUGGUGAAAUGCGUAGAUAUCGGGAGGAACACCCGUGGCGAAGGCGGCCUUCUGGGCUGUUCCUGACGCUGAAGGCGAAAGCUAGGGGAGCGAACGGGAUUAGAUACCCCGGUAGUCCUAGCUGUAAACGAUGGAUGCUGGGUGUGGGGGGUGUAAAUUCCCUCUGUGCCGAAGCAAACGCGUUAAGCAUCCCGCCUGGGGACUACGGCCGCAAGGCUAAAACUCAAACGAAUUGACGGGGGCCCGCACAAGCAGCGGAGCGUGUGGUUUAAUUCGAUGCUACACGAAGAACCUUACCUGGGUUUGACAUGCACGUGGUAGGGAACCGAAAGGGGACCGACCUUCGGGAGCGUGCACAGGUGCUGCAUGGCUGUCGUCAGCUCGUGCCGUGAGGUGUCGGGUUAAGUCCCGUAACGAGCGCAACCCUUGCCCUUAGUUACAAGUGUCUAAGGGGACUGCCCGGGACAACUGGGAGGAAGGUGGGGAUGACGUCAAGUCAGCAUGGCCUUUAUAUUCCAAGGGCUACACACACGCUACAAUGGCCAGUACAAUAGGUAGCCAAGUCGUGAGACGGAGCCAAUCCUUAAAGCUGGUCUCAGUUCGAAUUGCAGUCUGCAACUCGACUGCAUGAAGCUGGAGUUGCUAGUAAUCGUAGGUCAGCCAUACUGC